rnacentral:misc_RNA from 1 species
AAGUCGUAACAAGGUCUCCGUAGGUGAACCUGCGGAGGGAUCAUUACCGAGUGCGGGCCCUCGUGGCCCAACCUCCCAACCCUUUGUCGAUGAAUAUCUGUUGCCUCGGGGGGCGACCCGGCCCCCGCGCCGCGAGUCCCCCGGAGGUCCAACCAACACUGCGUCUUUGCGUCGGAGUAUUGAAACACAAUCAAUCAAAACUUUCAACAACGGAUCUCUUGGUUCUGGC